CGUCACACACUGAGCGCUGUGAGCGGGAGCACUGGAGAGUUAGAGACUGCAAAAGAUUCUGUGGCUAGCUACACACGAGUUCUUAACGCGCGACGGGUGCAUGUUUAAUGGUCACGUGCUGUGAAAGGGACUGAAGAGCGGGUUGGCAGGGGAGAUCACUUGCUGUGUGAUUCCUGCGUGUGUACUUGUCCUAGCACAGUAGCUGUGUGGAGAAACCGAAGUGAGUUCAUGAUGUUCUCCCAUAGAAAUGUAUGUUUAAAAGAGAGUUUACAGUGCACUUUAUUGCCAGUUGACCUGCGAAGUUGUGGGAUGUAAACAAUGUGUUUAUUUGUUUUGUUUUCUCUUUUUUUGUUGUAUUUGUUUCUUGACAGGUCACUACUGUUGUCUAUACUGUUUGGAUUUAACAUGUACAUAUGA